AAUAUCUCUUAUCUACAAGCCGAUCCCGAGGUGAAAAAUGGCAUCACCAAAGAAGUCUGACUUCUUUUUAUUUGCCUUGGUAACAUUUGUAGAUCACCAAUAUCAGAGGCAUUAUUCUUGGACCUUUUAGAAAAGAAAGGAGAGAGAGAUUCAUGGAAGGUGGAUAGUGCAGCAAUCAUAGACUAUCAUGUUGGUAAAAAUCCAGACAGCAGAACAAUAAAGACUCUGAAUAAGAAUGGAAUCACCUCAUACACCCACAAAGUCAGACAGAUAAGAAAUUCAGAUUUUUGGGAUUUUGAUUACAUUGUUGGCAUGGAUAAUGAUAACAUGAGGUACAUGUAUUUAUGCAUGAUAAUUCAACUGUUAUUUUAAUAGGUGAAGAGGUAUACAUGCUUUUUAAAAAAUUCCCCGUGCACUGUUUAUGCUAUAUACAUGUAUGUGUAGCUACCCAACCAAUUUUGUCAACUACUAAGAUCUUGAAAUUUUGCAUUGUACUACAUUCAUAUUCUAACAAGUACCAUAGGAUUCAUAUAGUAAAUAGACUUUGUUUCAGAUAUGAAAUGAAUGUGGGACAUGUCAAUAUAGAAUAAUUAGUUUUGAAAUUUUUUUAUAUUUCAGUGAUUUGGAAGAUUUAAAGCCAAAAAACUCAAAAGCAAAACUGGUGAUGUUUGGAGAUUAUGAUACAGAUGGUAGCAAAACAUAUGUAGAGGAUCCAUAUUAUAGUGAUGAUAUAAAGGCCUUCCAGGAAGUCUAUGACAAAGUGUACAGAUGCUGCAGAGGAUUUUAUGACAGCAUUGCCUCAUGAUAAUGACUUGAACCAAGGUCUGUUUGAAACUCCUUGUGCAAGGAACAAUUCAAAAUUUUUAGGACAGAAACUGCUGCAGAGUUUUAUUCCCCUGGCUUACCAUAAUUGGGCCGAUGAUUUUUUUUUUUAUUAGAAAUCAAUCAUUCAGGCUGCUUUAUAUGACAACACACAACAAACCUCUGCUAUCAACACAGUGUUAUUUUAUCAGCUUACUAAGUAAGCCUACUUUACUCCGAGAUGCUAUUUUUUCAAUUUCAUUAUCUAUGUAACUCUUUUAUUAAGCAAAUUAAAAAAAAGAAAUUGG
rnacentral:misc_RNA from 1 species